rnacentral:rRNA from 1 species
GACGAACGCUGGCGGCGUGCUUAACACAUGCAAGUCGAACGGAAAGGCCCUGCUUUUGUGGGGUGCUCGAGUGGCGAACGGGUGAGUAACACGUGAGUAACCUGCCCUUGACUUUGGGAUAACUUCAGGAGACUGGGGCUAAUACCGGAUAGGAGCUCCUGCUGCAUGGUGGGGGUUGGAAAGUUUCGGCGGUUGGGGAUGGACUCGCGGCUUAUCAGCUUGUUGGUGGGGUAGUGGCUUACCAAGGCUUUGACGGGUAGCCGGCCUGAGAGGGUGACCGGCCACAUUGGGACUGAGAUACGGCCCAGACUCCUACGGGAGGCAGCAGUGGGGAAUAUUGCACAAUGGGCGGAAGCCUGAUGCAGCAACGCCGCGUGCGGGAUGACGGCCUUCGGGUUGUAAACCGCUUUCGCUCAUGACGAAGCUUUGUGUGACGGUAGUGGGUAAAGAAGCACCGGCUAACUACGUG